rnacentral:rRNA from 1 species
GAUGAACGCUAGCUACAGGCUUAACACAUGCAAGUCGAGGGGCAGCAUGAACAUAGCUUGCUAUGUUUGAUGGCGACCGGCGCACGGGUGCGUAACACGUAUCCAAUCUGCCCGUUACUCGGGGAUAGCCUUCUGAAAGGAAGAUUAAUACCCGAUGGCAUGUAUUUCCGGCAUCGGAGAUACAUUAAAGAUUUAUCGGUAACGGAUGAGGAUGCGUACGAUUAGCUGGUUGGCGGGGUAACGGCCCACCAAGGCGACGAUCGUUAGGGGUUCUGAGAGGAAGGUCCCCCACACUGGAACUGAGACACGGUCCAG